rnacentral:tRNA from 15 species
CAAAGGGGGCAGACUGUAAAUCUGUUGUCAUCGACUUCGGUGGUUCGAAUCCACCAUCCUCCACCA